rnacentral:rRNA from 1 species
GGCGAGUGACGCGGCAACGCUCAAUUUGAAUCUGGCUCUCGGGCCCGAGUUGUAAUUUGUAGAGGAUACUUUUGAUGCGGUGCCUUCCGAGUUCCCUGGAACGGGACGCCAUAGAGGGUGAGAGCCCCGUCUGGUUGGAUGCCAAAUCUCUGUAAAGUUCCUUCAACGAGUCGAGUAGUUUGGGAAUGCUGCUCUAAAUGGGAGGUAUAUGUCUUCUAAAGCUAAAUACCGGCCAGAGACCGAUAGCGCACAAGUAGAGUGAUCGAAAGAUGAAAAGCACUUUGAAAAGAGAGUUAAAAAGUACGUGAAAUUGUUGAAAGGGAAGCGUUUAUGACCAGACUUGGGCUUGGUUAAUCAUCUGGGGUUCUCCCCAGUGCACUUUUCCAGUCCAGGCCAGCAUCAGUUUUCCCCGGGGGAUAAAGGCGGCGGGAAUGUGGCUCUCUUCGGGGAGUGUUAUAGCCCACCGUGUAAUACCCUGGGGGGGACUGAGGUUCGCGCAUCUGCAAGGAUGCUGGCGUAAUGGUCAUCAACGACCCGUCUUGAAACACGGACCAAGGAGUCGUCUUCGUAUGCGAGUGUUCGGGUGUCAAACCCCUACGCGUAAUGAAAGUGAACGCAGGUGAGAGCUUCGGCGCAUCAUCGACCGAUCCUGAUGUUCUCGGAUGGAUUUGAGUAAGAGCAUACGGGCCGGACCCGAAAGAAGGUGAACUAUGCCUGUAUAGGGUGAAGCCAGAGGAAACUCUGGUGGAGGCUCGCAGCGGUUCUGACGUGCAAAUCGAUCGUCAAAUAUGGGCAUGGGGGCGAAAGACUAAUCGAACCUUCUAGUAGCUGGUUCCCGCCGAA